AUUGAACGCUGGCGGCGUGCUUAACACAUGCAAGUCGUGCGGUAACAGGCGUAGCAAUACGUGCUGACGAGCGGCGAACGGGUGCGUAAUACAUGGGAAUCUGCCCUUUAGUGGGGAAUAACCCGGCGAAAGCCGGGCUAAUGCCGCAUAAGAUCUUCGGAUGAAAGCGGGGGACCGUAAGGCCUCGCGCUGAUGGAUGAGCCCAUGUCGGAUUAGCUGGUUGGGAGGUAACGGCUCACCAAGGCGACGAUCCGUAGCUGGUCUGAGAGGACGGCCAGCCACACUGGGACUGAGACACGGCCCAGACUCCUACGGGAGGCAGCAGUGGGGAAUAUUGGACAAUGGGCGAAAGCCUGAUCCAGCGACGCCGCGUGUGUGAAGAAGGCCU
rnacentral:rRNA from 1 species